rnacentral:rRNA from 1 species
UACGUAGGUGGCAAGCGUUGUCCGGAUUUACUGGGCGUAAAGGAUGCGUAGGCGGACAUUUAAGUCAGAUGUGAAAUACCCGAGCUUAACUUGGGUGCUGCAUUUGAAACUGGGUGUCUAGAGUGCAGGAGAGGUAAGUGGAAUUCCUAGUGUAGCGGUGAAAUGCGUAGAGAUUAGGAAGAACACCAGUGGCGAAGGCGACUUACUGGACUGUAACUGACGCCGAGGCAUGAAAGCGUGGGGAGCAAACAGG